rnacentral:rRNA from 1 species
GAUGAACGCUGGCGGCGUGCCUAAUACAUGCAAGUCGAGCGAACAGACGAGGAGCUUGCUCCUCUGACGUUAGCGGCUGACGGGUGAGUAACACGUGGAUAACCUACCUAUAAGACUUGGAUAACUUCGGGAAACCGGAGCUAAUACCGGAUAAUAUAUUGAACCGCAUGGUUCAAUAGUUCAAGACGGUUUUGCUGUCACUUAUAGAUGGAUCCGCGCCGCAUUAUCUAGUUGGUAAGGUAACGGCUUACCAAGGCAACGAUGCGUAGCCGACCUGAGGAGGUGAUCGGCCACACUUGAACUGAGACAAGGUCCAGAAUCCUAAGGGAGGCAGGAGGAGGGAAUCUUCCGAAAUGGGGGAAAGGCCGAAGGAGGCACGACGCGUGAGUGAUAAAGGGCUUCGGAGCUGAAAACUCUGUUAGUAGGGAAAGAAAAAUGGGUAAGUAACAAUGCACUGCUUGAAGGGACCUAAUAAGAAAGCCACGGCUAACUACGUG